GUCGACGGGAGAUGCUUUGGAGCAUUGGACAAGAGACUAAGAGAGAGCUUGGACGAAGGUGAACCGCGGUGAGCCCAGCAACCCGCCGCAACCACCUUCUCCCACUGAGCUCCUUCUAACAAGUUCCCCUUCACGCCCGUCGCUGCUCCGGCCCAUCACGUCGCUAGAUACCCCGGCUCGCAUCCCCCACACAUACAAGGUCAGUCGUGUAAAAAAAUAACAGAAGGAAACAGAGAAAAAAAAUACCGAACUUCUCAUGUAAGUAAAAUAAUCCCUUCAAAAAUCAGCGUCAUAUCGUGUUACACUUCUCAUAGGACAGUUUACAUCACUAUAGUCUGUUCACUUAAGUCCGACCCAAGCUGACAACAUGUACAUAAGCGUGUUUGCAAGCUGAGUGCUGAUUGGCUGCUAUGGCUUCCAAGUUUUCUUUAACCCGGUAGCUGCGGGGAUCAUGUUUCUUAAAGGCCCCUCUAAGCGAGAUUAGUGAGAAAAAAAUCAUCACUCACGCAAACCAUUUCAUUAUAUAUAUCAGCGCAUUUGUGAUCGGUUUAUGCAUCAUCUAUUUUUGGGGGGUUUAUAUCGUGACAGGAAUUUGG